AUAAUUUAAUUUUUUCUUUGGGCGAUUGACCAUUAUGUUGAGAUCGAACAAUCUUUUACCCCCAUGUUCAUCUUUGUUAUGUAUGUACCGGACGUUCUAUGCACCUAUAUCACCAUUGGAGAAUUGUCUUUGUGCCAUC